UUCUCAGACAGCGGCACGGUGGUCUGGAUGAUGUAUCCGGUGAUCGGUGUGAAGGUGUAAGUCACCUCGCUCCAGAUCAACUGCGUGUUCGCGACAAGAAGAUCGGCCGGGAUCGUUGUGAUGACUGUAUCCUUGGGAUAGCCGGUCGUGACCGUGACAGAGCUGGCGCCGCUGACAGCGCCGGAGUAACUCCAGACCACCUUCGCAUUCUUCGAUGCAUCGAUGCUGACCGCGGA
rnacentral:misc_RNA from 1 species